UACAGAGGGGGCAAGCGUUAUUCGGAAUUAUUGGGCGUAAAGGGCGCGUAGGCGGUUCUUCAAGUCUCUCGUGAAAUCCCUCGGCUUAACUGAGGACGUGCGGGAGAUACUGAAGGGCUUGAGUCCGGAAGAGGGUGGUGGAAUUCCCAGUGUAGCGGUGAAAUGCGUAGAUAUUGGGAGGAACACCGGUGGCGAAGGCGGGUCUCUGGACAGUUCCUGACACUGAGGCACGAAGGCCAGGGGAGCAAACGGG
rnacentral:rRNA from 1 species